rnacentral:rRNA from 1 species
AUUGAACGCUGGCGGCAGGCCUAACACAUGCGAGUCGAGCGGAUGAACGGUGCGUGCUCCUGGAUUCAGCGGCGGACGGGCGAGUAGUUCCGAAGAAUCUGCCUGUUAGCUUUUUAUAACGUCCGGACACGGGCGCUAAUACCGCAUACGUCCUUACGGCCUAAGGGGGGGAGCAUCGGACCUUACGCUAUCACGUGAGCCUAGGUCGGAUUAGCUAGUUGGUGGGGUAAAGGCCUACCAAGGCGACGAUCCGUAGCUGGUCUGAGAGGAUGAUCAGUCACACUGGAACUGAGACACGGUCCAGACUCCUACGGGAGGCAGCAGUGGGGAAUAUUGGACAAUGGGCGCAAGCCUGAUCCAGCCAUGCCGCGUGUGUGAAGAAGGUCUUCGGAUUGUAAAGCCCUUUUAGUUGGGAAGAAGAGCAGUAAGUUAAUACCUCGCUGUUUUGACGUUACCAAAAGAAUAAGCACCGGCUAACUUCGUG